rnacentral:rRNA from 1 species
UACAGAGGUCUCGAGCGUUAGGCGGAAUCACUGGGCUUAAAGCGUGUGUAGGCGGGUCGGUAAGUACCUUGUGAAAUCCCACGGCUCAACCGUGGAACUGCUGGGUAUACUGCCGAUCUUGUGCAACCUAGGGGCGAGCGGAACAGAUGGUGGAGCGGUGAAAUGCGUAGAUAUCGCUUGGAACGCCGAAGGUGAAAACAGGUCGCUGGGGAUGUGCCGACGCUGAGACACGAAAGCCAGGGGAGCAAACGGG